rnacentral:tRNA from 1 species
GCCUGGGUGGCUCAGCAGUUGAGCGUCUGCCUUUGGCCCAGGACGUGAUUCCGGGGUUUUGGGAUCGAGUCCCACAUCAGGCU